AGCAGUAGCCACGGUAAUACGUAGGGGGCAAGCGUUAUCCGGAAUUACUGGGUGUAAAGGGAGCGUAGACGGUUAAACAAGUCUGAAGUGAAAUGCCGGGGCUCAACCCCGGAGCUGCUUUGGGAACUGUAGAACUGGAGUGUCGGAGGGGUAAGCGGAAUUCCCAGUGUAGCAGUGAAAUGCGUAGAUAUUGGGAGGGACACCGGCGGCGAAGGCGGCUUACUGGACGACAACUGACGUUGAGGCUCGAAGGCGUGGGUAGCAGACAGGAUUAGAGACCCGUGUAGUCCCUGUCUCUUAUAC
rnacentral:rRNA from 1 species